rnacentral:lncRNA from 1 species
UAUAAAGAGUUAAAGGUUCAUCGUUACUACAUAAAAUAUUAUGUUUGGCUGAGCGGUGGUGUCAGAGUUCCUGACAAAAUUUACCUGAACGUUCAAGUUUCUACCCUAAAACGGGCGACACAAAAGUGUGUCUGUAUGGGAAAGUGAACUC